AUGGCUAAGGGAGAGGUGCUCGUCCAUGUCCUGAGUUUGAGAGCUGUCACACACGAGUUUGAGAACUCAUGUGCGCCAGACACGAGCAGGACGUUGUCUGUAGGUACUCCGCUCUCGCCCAGGUCCAACAAUUUCCGCGAUAGUAAUUCCGGACGGAAAAACCUGACGUGCUCCAAUCCCGUGCACCGCGCGACUCCCGCCCCGCCCCAAUCCUUCGUGGCUCCUAGACGUGGUUCGCGUGCUACUCCGUCCGUUGGUCAUCCUCCGUUCGCUGAUCUGCUUGUGAAUUCUGCACGCUACAUGCGCCCGUCCAGCAGGUGUACUGGUUGGCACGCUGCGCUGCAGGUUCAGCCCUGUGGGCUCUUGAUUGCGAGUCAAGCCACGUGCUCACCAGAUCAUGCGGGUCUCCUGAAAACUGCUGCUACUGCUCGCGCCGCCGCUAUAGGUCUUUGCCGCAUCUCUCCUGACCUCGUCGCAAAAAAGGAGAGAUAUUAUCCUAAACAAGAGACACCCUGCAUCGGCCGCCAUCCCCUUGCCCCGCCUCCCCCUGUUCCUUUGCCGAGCCCGCCUCCCUUGCCACUUUCUCCGCGCGUCGGGGACGCAUACUGCAUCUUCGCCAUCCUCCUCGCGUCGUGGAUGCACACGUCGUCGUCAACAUCCUCCUCGCGUCGGGGAAGGUGCGGCCGCCGUUGUUCCUCCGCGCGACCUGAGAUGCCGAGGCCGCCGUUCUUCCUCCGCACAGCCAGGGACGACGCAAACACCGACGCCCCCGUCCUCAACUACAUCAGUUCAGCAGUACGCCCCCUCUCCUCGCUCAUCCUCUUUUGUUCCUUGCCGACGGCGCCAACCGGCACACAGCAGCCGACUGGAUUCUUCUACUCCAACACUGAACAAGGAGAAAGUAUGGUUUCUUCCGAGAGACGUCAAGUUGAUGAACAUGUCAAUAAGAUCAUUGAAUUGAAAAUAAGAUCCUGCAUCCCUUCAAGGUCAAGUCAGGGCCUCCGGGUUGGCGUCAUGAUGAGCAGAAGUGGAUUAGAUAGUUCUUAG
rnacentral:rRNA from 1 species